rnacentral:lncRNA from 1 species
AGCUUCCCGGUCCCCCCAGGGUUACCCUUGGGUGCAGGCGCGGCCUUUCUCCAAGGGGAGGGGGCAGCUACCCUUCUGCAAAGCGAAGGAGAAAUUCUAAGUAGGCGUGAAACUGUCAAGAGGCGCAGCCUGGCACCCACCCCUGCAAGGCACUGUGGCAGGCGAACCCUCCGGGCCUGGAGCGCCACCGAGAUGCUCCUCUGACACCGCGGGAGGGAAAGCGUUGACUGUUUUGUCUUCCCCGCCCCCUCCGGCGCGCGGUUCCGGGAGUUUAGGGCUCGGGCCGGGAGGAAAGGGCGAGAAGGCGCUUCUGGGCUCGCUGGGCAGGCAGGCGCUUCCGAGCCUGCGCCCGGCCUCUGUCCUCGCGGCCCGAAGCGGGGCGGGACGCGGAGGCCCUACGCGCCGGCGGGUGCCUGGACCCCGAGAACGCCGCGACUCCAGACCUAGGGGGCGCCUCCCCAGCGCCGAGGAAGGACCGCCGAGACGGAAGGGGCAGCCGGGCCCGCGCGAUUUCAUUUCGCGCUUGGCCGCCACCAGCAAGAAGCAGAACUCAGAACCCGACUCUCACCCUCACGCCCGGCCCCCAGCCCUGCCCGGCCCAGCCCGUGGGGCUCAGGGAGGCCCCGGGGGGCGCUGUCUCCUCUCCUCCUGCGAACAUCACCUCUAGUAAUACGCGCCCACCCUACCCAGCUUGGCGAGCCACCCGGCCCAGGGGUGACCCCGCCGCGGCUCCGUCUUGCCGGGUGCGGAUCCCCGGCAGAGCUGGCCCAGGGAGGCGGGCAGAGCACAGCGUCCCCGCGGCUCCUACCUCCCCGAGGCGGCCGCACGGGAUGGAGGCAGGGGGCGGGGGCGGCAAGCGGCCAGCAGCCAGGCGAAGGGAUCAGCUCGGCUGCAAAGCGCGCGGCCCUGGGCUCGGUGGCACCCUCAAACAGAGCCCAGCCCGGGCCCUCCCGAUCCGGGCGCAGCCUGGGUCCCGCCCUACCUCUACCCAUCCCACGUCUGGCUGAGUUCUCCGCCUUCUGCAUUUCCUUUCCUUCCCGGGGUUUCCACCCCCCUGCUGCUCUCUCUUACUCUCCUCUCCUUCGCCGACUCCUUUCCUCCCCACCUUGUCCCCCGCCCGCCACUCUUCUGCAGUUUACCGCAGAGAGAGCCCCAAACAACCCUCAUAAAGCCAAUAAACUAAAAAUGUAAGCACUGCCCAGAUUUAUGUGCUUAUCCCGUCGCUCCUAAAAAGCAAAUUGACACACUGGGUGGAUUUGGAUCGGCUUCCUCGGAG